UCAGUCGACUCCUACGGGGAGGCAGCAGUGGGGGAAUAUUGCACAAUGGGCGCAAGCCUGAUGCAGCCAUGCCGCGUGUGUGAAGAAGGCCUUCGGGUUGUAAAGCACUUUCAGUCGUGAGGAAGGUAGUGUAGUUAAUAGCUGCAUUAUUUGACGUUAGCGACAGAAGAAGCACCGGCUAACUCCGUGCCAGCAGCCGCGGUAAUACGGGAGGGUGCGAGCGUUAAUCGGAAUUACUGGGCGUAAAGCGCAUGCAGGUGGUUUGUUAAGUCAGAUGUGAAAGCCCGGGGCUCAACCUCGGAAUAGCAUUUGAAACUGGCAGACUAGAGUACUGUAGAGGGGGGUAGGAAUUUCAGGUGUAGCGGUGAAAUGCGUAGAGAUCUGAAGGAAUACCGGUGGCGAAGGCGGCCCCCUGGACAGAUACUGACACUCAGAUGCGAAAGCGUGGGGAGCAAACAGGAUUAGAUACCCUGGUAG
rnacentral:rRNA from 1 species